CAUAGGUGCCACUAUCGGGACCCACCACCAAUUAUUUCCAGCCCUGUAAGAAAAAGAAAUAAAAAAUCAUUAUUUGCUACUUGGGUUAACACCUGACCUUU